rnacentral:rRNA from 1 species
UACAGAGGUGGCAAGCGUUGUUCGGAAUUACUGGGCGUAAAGGGCGCGUAGGCGGCCUUCUAAGUCAGACGUGAAAUCCCCCGGCUCAACCUGGGAACUGCGUCUGAUACUGGAGGGCUUGAAUGCGGGAGAGGGAUGUAGAAUUCCAGGUGUAGCGGUGAAAUGCGUAGAUAUCUGGAGGAAUACCGGUGGCGAAGGCGGCAUCCUGGACCGACAUUGACGCUGAGGCGCGAAAGCUAGGGUAGCAAACGGG